CUACGGGUCGCUCCAGUGGGGAAUAUUGCACAAUGGGCGCAAGCCUGAUGCAGCAACGCCGCGUGGGGGACGAAGGCCUUCGGGUUGUAAACCUCUUUUAGUAGGGAAGAAGCGCAAGUGACGGUACCUACAGAAAAAGCACCGGCUAACUACGUGCCAGCAGCCGCGGUAAUACGUAGGGUGCAAGCGUUGUCCGGAAUUAUUGGGCGUAAAGAGCUCGUAGGCGGUUUGUCGCGUCUGCUGUGAAAAUCCGAGGCUCAACCUCGGACCUGCAGUGGGUACAGGCAAACUAGAGUGCGGUAGGGGAGAUUGGAAUUCCUGGUGUAGCGGUGGAAUGCGCAGAUAUCAGGAGGAACACCAAUGGCGAAGGCAGAUCUCUGGGCCGUAACUGACGCUGAGGAGCGAAAGCGUGGGGAGCGAACAGGAUUAGAUACCCUAGUAGUC
rnacentral:rRNA from 1 species